CAAGGCCUAGCUUAAAAGACAAAGCGACUCCCCUACACUGAGUAGAUGCUCGUUGAAAUCGAGUGGCCCUGA
rnacentral:tRNA from 1 species